rnacentral:rRNA from 1 species
GGUGGCGAUCAUACCAGCACUAAUGCACUGGAUCCCAUCAGAACUCCGCAGUUAAGCGUGCUUGGGCGAGAGUAGUACUAGGAUGGGUGACCCCCUGGGAAGUCCUCGUGUUGCAACCC